CUUUCUGUGGGCGGAGCAAUCUUCCCGAUGUCUCUUCCCUCUGAGGCCAGUAGCAGGAAGGGCCUCGGGAGUUGCGAGUGUCGCGAGGUUUGAGGUCGCUCGGUGGGCCGGGCGCUGUGCGAAGCUAGAAAUAACUGGGGGCAUGGAGAAUGCGGUGGCUGUAAAGGGCCGCUGAGGCGGUGGAGGCCUGGCAGAGAGCGUCCCCGCGGUCGCGGCUUCUGGCUUCUCUGUGGAGCUUGGUUCUUCCGUGGUGGUGCAGCACCCCAGGAACUUCAGGAACCAGUCCUUCCUUGGAGAGCUCCCCGGGACAGCCACGGGGGCCAAGUGAAACUAGCGCGUUUUCUUGGAUCCUACACUUUAUAGUGAGUCAUAAAUACUUUAAAUACAAAGCCAACAACAUUUGCUGCAAAUAAACGUAAAAAUACUGUUAAAGUGUAAAGUGUUUUCCUCCGUACCAUCUGACGUUUCUGGCGGUUCGUUGAACGCGAGAGAACGCUGAGCCGUCUGCACUGAGCCCGGGAGCAUCUUCAGGGCAGCGCCGCCCACGCGCGAGGUGAAUGAAGGACACGGCCUCUUGACACUCCCAGGCAGCACAGAUAGACGGAUCCUGGCUAGAAGUGACCCCAGGAUUUUUUUAUUAUCAAGAGAGACUAGAAGAAUCAUGAGACUUUUCCUAGUUGCCUUUCAAGAAUAUGAAGAAAAAAAUGGUUCUCAAAGUGGGUUUGAAUGAGUAUUGUUCCAAUAAAUGAACUUAUAUUCAUAUUUCAUCCCCUGAGUCCUGGUGUUUCAACAUCCAUUAGAACUGAAUAAUCAUACUGCAUAUCAAAGUUUGUGGGAAAUUGCUAAAGUGUAAAAAAUGCUCAUAUUGAAAAAGAAGAAAAGCUGAAAAUUAAUUGUGCUUCCAACUUUAAAAAAGGACAACAAGCUAAUCCUAAAGAAACUAGAAUAAAAGGAAAAAAUAA
rnacentral:lncRNA from 1 species